rnacentral:piRNA from 1 species
UUUCUGUUAAAUUUUAUUUGA